rnacentral:lncRNA from 1 species
UAGAGUUCCUCUUCACUGUUUGACCAGGGAGUUCCUCUGGCUUAACGACUGUCCUGAUCAUCUGUUUACCCAUAUUUCACACGUUUCCGCUUUAUUACCUUUUUAUGUUAUUACCGUAAGACCUAAAUAUUGUAACUUGGGCCCAUAAAUGCUAAGAGUAAGCUUAGAUAUGUCACGUUUGUCCAUUUCCUGACUCGACAUAAUGUCAACAUCGUAAUCGCCGCCAUUACUAUGUUAAUUGACGUCAGUGACCUAAUGACCUGCGAUCAGCAUCCAAUCUGUACAACGUAAUCUGCCCACCAUCACCAUAGGAGUAUGAGACUGAUGGGACAGAAGUAUCAUGAAAAGCGAGUGUACAAAAGCCUUUAAGGAGACUUUCGACCUCUAACAGGGCGUUCACUCCUGAUACCGAGGAAAUUAAUAGAGCAAAACCAAAUACGCCGGAGUCGAUGCAACCCGUAAAAUACACGUACCUUUGAUAUUGUAUGCAUCCCCGUUGGACAAAUGGACCAAACCAUGAUUGACCUAUAUGUUUUACUACGCUUACUACGAUGUUGUAAAAAAAGGGGGUCCUGUAUAUUUUA